rnacentral:rRNA from 1 species
AGCUGAAACUUAAAGGAAUUGACGGAAGGGCACCACCAGGAGUGGAGCCUGCGGCUUAAUUUGACUCAACACGGGAAAUCUCACCAGGCCCGGACACCGGAAGGAUUGACAGAUUGAGAGCUCUUUCUUGAUUCGGUGGGUGGUGGUGCAUGGCCGUUCUUAGUUGGUGGAGCGAUUUGUCUGGUUAAUUCCGAUAACGAACGAGACUCUGGCCUACUAACUAGAAGAGCCGUUCUAUAUGAGCGGUUCUCUGCUUCUUAGAGGGACGGGCGGCGUUUAGCCGCACGAGAAUGAGCAAUAACAGGUCUGUGAUGCCCUUAGAUGUUCUGGGCUGCACGCGCGCUACACUGAAGGAAUCAGCAUGUUCUCCCCUCCCUGAAAAGGGCGGGUAACCCGUUGAAACUCCUUCGUGAUGGGGAUUGGAGAUUGUAAUUAUUCUCCAUGAACGAGGAAUUCCCAGUAGGCGCGAGUCAUCAGCUUGCGUCGAUUACGUCCCUGCCCUUUGUACACACCGCCCGUCGCUACUACCGAUCGAGUGAUUUAGUGAGGAUUUCGGACUGGUCUUCAA